UGCCUGUUUCUGUACAAUUUAGACACUGUCCUAAGAAGAUGAUAUAUCUCACUUAAUAAGAAAGAACCCCUGUGAAGCAUAUAUCAUUAUUCUUGUUUUAUAGAUGAGUCGGCUGAGCGCAAAGCAUUCCUAUUACGCGCACGUUGCUGUAUGUAUAGUGGACAGUUCUGCUCCCCUGCAGCUAACUCUGAAAUGAAGCCUCAGUACCAGCCCGUCAACCUCACAUCGGAGGACACUCUGUGUCUUAUGAUGACCAACCUCUGACCAAUCGCUGCCCAAGAAGCCCAGGACACAGCUGAAGAGCGUAAUUGAAAACUCUAACUACAGGAUGGCUCCGAGGUUAACUAUUAAAACGGAAGAACUAAGGAGUGAGCUUACUAAAUUCUCUUUGACUGAGAGCAGGCAAGCAAGCAUCUGGACAAACAUGUCACCUGAAAUACACAGCAGCCUGAGGCUGCCUGGAAAAGAGAAGAAAUCCAAGAACAAAACUACCAAGAGCAUCUCUGGCUUAACUUAGUGAUUGUGAUUAAUCCAUCACCAGAAACCUUUUCCAGGUAUGAGCUGUCUUUCUGCGGCUGUCCUUGAGUAACCUUGCCUCUGUCUCACCCUAUCAGCUGAGACACAUCAGCUUCUGGAGAUUCCUUUCCUGCCCGUUUACUUUUUUCAUUGCAAAUAAAUAAAGUGGCAAAGUUGCAAUUCACUGAAAAUAAUA